rnacentral:rRNA from 1 species
UACAGGGGGGGCAAGCGUUGUUCGGAAUUACUGGGCGUAAAGGGCUCGUAGGCGGCCAACUAAGUCACACGUGAAAUCCCCAGGCUUAACCUGGGAACUGCGUGUGAUACUGGAUGGCUUGAAUUCGGGAGAGGGAUGCAGAAUUCCAGGUGUAGCGGUGAAAUGCGUAGAUAUUGGGAGGAACACCAGUGGCGAAGGCGGCUCACUGGACCGGAACUGACGCUGAGGCGCGAAAGCGUGGGGAGCAAACAGG